ACACAUAAUUUUUCUUGCAAGUUCUUUGUAAAGUAGAUAGUUUUUAUUUUUUUAUAUUACAAUUUUUUGUUUUAAAAAAUGACCUUUAAUAUUGUUUGGGGCGGGACGGUCCUAUGCGGGUUUAAUAACUAUGUUUUAGACCUUUACCUAGUUAUGCUAUCUUAAUAUUGUAUUUUGUUCCCAACUUCCCAUCCUUUAUGACUGUGUCAUUCAUGUUGGCUUUCAUUAAUAAUGUUGGCUUUCAUUAAUGAAAUUUUCUCAAAUCCAAUUUAUAUCCAAAUAAUAUCCAACUCAUAUAUGCAUUUGAAC
rnacentral:lncRNA from 1 species